GUGAGGAAUAUUGGUCAAUGGACGAGAGUCUGAACCAGCCAAGUCGCGUGAAGGAAGACGGUUCUAUGAAUUGUAAACUUCUUUUGUGCAGGAAUAAAGUGGGUUACGUGUAACCUUUUGUAUGUACUGUACGAAUAAGGAUCGGCUAACUCCGUGCCAGCAGCCGCGGUAAUACGGAGGAUCAGAGCGUUAUCCGGAUUUAUUGGGUUUAAAGGGUGCGUAGGUGGAUUGAUAAGUCAGCGGUGAAAGUUUGCAGCUUAACUGUAAAAUUGCCGUUGAAACUGUCGGUCUUGAGUGCAAAUGAGGUAGGCGGAAUGUGUUGUGUAGCGGUGAAAUGCUUAGAUAUAACACAGAACUCCGAUUGCGAAGGCAGCUUACUGGGAUGCAACUGACACUGAUGCACGAAAGCGUGGGUAUCAAACAGGAUUAGAUACCCUAGUAGUCC
rnacentral:rRNA from 1 species